rnacentral:rRNA from 1 species
GACGAACGCUGGCGGCGUGCCUAAUACAUGCAAGUAGAACGCAGUUGCGAACGGGUGAGUAACGCGUAGGUAACUGCCUGGUAGCGGGGGCUAACUAUUGGAAACGAUAGCUAAUACCGCAUACUACCAGAUGGACCUGCGUUGUAUUCGCUAGUUGGUGGGGUAACGGCUCACCAAGGCAACGAUACAUAGCCGGCCUGGGAGGGUGGACGGCCACACUGGGACUGGGAAACGGCCCAGACUCCUACGGGAGGCAGCAGGAGGGAAACGUCGGCAAUGGGGGGAACGCUGACCGAGCAACGCCGCGGUAGUGAAGAAGGGUUUCGGGUCGUAAAGCUCUGUUGUUAAGGAAGCGGUACUUAACCAGAAAGGGACGGCUAACUACGUGCCAGCAGCCGCGGUAAUAC